UACGUAGGGGGCGAGCGUUGUCCGGAAUUAUUGGGCGUAAAGAGCUCGUAGGCGGUCUGUCGCGUCUGCUGUGAAAUCCCGAGGCUCAACCUCGGGCGUGCAGUGGGUACGGGCAGGCUAGAGUGCGGUAGGGGAGAAUGGAACUCCUGGUGUAGCGGUGGAAUGCGCAGAUAUCAGGAAGAACACCGAUGGCGAAGGCGGUUCUCUGGGCCGUAACUGACGCUGAGGAGCGAAAGCGUGGGGAGCGAACAGG
rnacentral:rRNA from 1 species